UGGCUCAGUGGUAAAGUGCUUGCCUUGCAUGCAUGAGGCCCUGGGUUCGAUUCCCCAG
rnacentral:tRNA from 1 species